rnacentral:rRNA from 1 species
UUUGGUNAUGGCGCGAAAGCCUGACCAGCAACGCCGCGUGUGCGAUGAAGGCCUUCGGGUCGUAAAGCACUUUUCUGGGAGAUGAGAAAGGACAGUAUCCCAGGAAUAAGUCUCGGCUAACUACGUGCCAGCAGCCGCGGUAAAACGUAGGAGGCGAGCGUUAUCCGGAUUCACUGGGCGUAAAGCGCGUGCAGGUGGCUUGGUAAGUUAGGCGUGAAAUCUCCCGGCUCAACUGGGAGAGGUCGUCUAAUACUACCGGGCUUGAGAGCAGAAGAGGAAGAUGGAAUUCCCGGUGUAGUGGUGAAAUGCGUAGAUAUCGGGAGGAACACCAGUGGCGAAGGCGAUCUUCUGGUCUGUUUCUGACACUCAGACGCGACAGCUAGGGUAGUAAACGGGAUUAGAGACCCCGGUAAUCCUAGCCGUAAACGAUGUAAACUUGGCGUUGGUGGGUUAAACUCCAUCAGUGCCGCAGCAAACGCGAUAAGUUUACCGCCUGGGGACUACGGCCGCAAGGUUAAAACUCAAAAAAAUUGACGGA